rnacentral:rRNA from 1 species
CCUACGGGUGGCAGCAGUGAGUAAUAUUGGUCAAUGGGCGAGAGCCUGAACCAGCCAAGUCGCGUGAGGGAGUACUGCCCUAUGGGUUGUAAACCUCUUUUGUCGGGGAGCAAAAUCCGGACGUGUACGGCUGUGAGAGUACCCGAAGAAAAAGCAUCGGCUAACUCCGGGCCAGCAGCCUGUGUAAGACGGAGGAUGCGAGCGUUAUCCGGAUUUAUUGGGUUUACAGGGUGCGCAGGCGGAUUUUUAAGUCAGCGGUCAAAUCGUGGGGCUCAACCCCAUCCAGCCGUUGACACUGGGGAUCUAGUGUGUGCGAGAGGUAUGCGGAAUGCGUGGUGUAGCGGUGAAAUGCAUAGAUAUCACGCAGAACCCAGAUUGCGAAGGCAGCAUACCGGUGCACAACUGACGCUCAGGCACGAAAGCGUGGGUAUCGAACAGGAUUAGAUACCCGAGUAGUC